rnacentral:lncRNA from 10 species
UGAGCACUGGCUGCCAGCCUUGUGUAGCCCACUGGGCACAGCCAUCCCACCCUUGGCUCCAACCCUGACUGCAAAGCAAGAAAGGGCUUUAGUGGGCUGGGUAAUUCUAACAACUGCCAGUGACAAGUCUGCUGAUGGACUCAUCUGGGCAACAUCACAUUACGAAUUAGCAUCUAGAAAUGGCUGGCAUAAUUCCAGCGGGCAGAGCUUCAUUGCUGGCCUUGCUCAUGAACAGGGUUAGGGUUUAUGCUGCCAAUGUAGAUAUUUUGCCUCCAAAACGUUCAACAGGGUUUGUAUUGAAGCUCCAAAGUACUCCUCCAGGAGGAGCAGUCUGAAGGUGUUCACUAAGCAUGGGAGUGGUGCAGGGAGUGCAUAGGGGGCAAAAGUGAUUUAAGGUUAACUCAUCCAGAAUUCAUUAGAUAGGUGUUCAUCCACUGGAAUCUGCCAGAGAGAAUCCUAGCCUCUGAAAAAGAAAUUUGUCCACAUCAUUUUCUCUACUUCACAGAAAUAGCUUAAAUAGAAUGCCGUAGAGCCAGGAGCCUCAACAGACCUAAAGUGAAUAUAGAAGGCAACACAAAGUAGUGGUUAUGAGCCCAGAUUCUAGAGCCUGACCGCCUGGAUUUCAGGCCCAGUGCUACUACUUACUACCUGUAAGUCCUUAAGUUGGAAUCUAGCCUUUCUGUGCCUCCAUUUUUCAUCUGUUAGCUGGGAAUAAUAAUAUUAUCUUCCUCAGUUAUGGGCUGAAGGUUUGUGUCCCCCUCGCCCACUCAUAUGUUGAAACCCUAACCCCCAGCCCCAGUGUGAUGGUAUUUGGAGGUAGGGCCUUUGGGAGGAAAUUAAGUUAAAUAAGGUUAUGCGAGUGGGGCCCUCAGGAUAGGAUUAAUGCCCUUAUAAAAAAGGAGGAGACGCAGGCUGUCUCUCUGUGCUCCACGCCAUGUGAGGAUACAACAAGAAGUCGGCAGUCUGCAAUCAGAAAGAAAGCCCUCAUCACAGCCCGACUAGCCUGGCACCCUGAUCUCAGAUUUCCAGCCUCCAGAACUGUGAGAAAAUAAAUUUCUGUUGUUUAUAAGCCACA